rnacentral:rRNA from 1 species
AGUGAACGCUGGCGGUAGGCCUAACACAUGCAAGUCGAACGGCAGCACAGUAAGAGCUUGCUCUUACGGGUGGCGAGUGGCGGACGGGUGAGGAAUACAUCGGAAUCUACUUUUUCGUGGGGGAUAACGUAGGGAAACUUACGCUAAUACCGCAUACGACCUACGGGUGAAAGCAGGGGAUCUUCGGACCUUGCGCGAUUGAAUGAGCCGAUGUCGGAUUAGCUAGUUGGCGGGGUAAAGGCCCACCAAGGCGACGAUCCGUAGCUGGUCUGAGAGGAUGAUCAGCCAAACUGGAACUGAGACACGGUCCAGCCUCCUACGGGAGGCAGCAGUGGGGAAUAUUGGACAAUGGGCGCAAGCCUGAUCCAGCCAUACCGCGUGGGUGAAGAAGGCCUUCGGGUUGUAAAGCCCUUUUGUUGGGAAAGAAAAGCAGCAGGUUAAUACCCCGCUGUUCUGACGGUACCCAAAGAAUAAGCACCGGCUAACUUCGUG